rnacentral:misc_RNA from 1 species
UAGAGUUGUAAAACUCCCAAACCCAUGUGAACAUACCUUUGUUGCCUCGGUGGCUCUCAGCGCCGGCUACCCUGUAGCCGCCCUGCGGACCGCCGACGGAAUACAAAACUCUGUUUCAGUUGUCAUCUCUGAGAAUACAAACAAAUAAAUCA